rnacentral:rRNA from 1 species
GUGUCAGCCGCCGCGGUAAUACCGGCAGCACGAGUGAUGGCCGCUAUUAUUGGGCCUAAAGCGUCCGUAGCUGGCCACGCAAGUUCGUCGGGAAAUCUGCGCGCUUAACGCGCAGGCGUCCGGUGGAAACUGUUCGGCUUGGGACCGGAAGACCUGAGGGGUACGUCCGGGGUAGGAGUGAAAUCCUGUAAUCCUGGACGGACCACCGGUGGCGAAAGCGCCUCAGGAAGACGGAUCCGACGGUGAGGGACGAAAGCUCGGGUCUCGAACCGGAUUAGAAACCCCCGUAGUCC